rnacentral:ncRNA from 1 species
AUAUUGCGGCUGACCUUACUCCACAAAAAUAAGUUCAGGCGCAAAAAAGAAAGGAGUAUUACCGCAUGGCUCGCGGUGCGGCAGUGUGGAGACCUGCCGUAAUGCGAAUAUAGCAACACAACUCUAUAUGUCGCGAGGCAUUCAGAGCGGAGGCUUGAUUGCCAGAGCCAGUCAAGAUGGCA